AUUGAACGCUGGCGGCAGGCCUAACACAUGCAAGUCGAACGAGUGGCGGAGGGGUGAGUAAUGUCGGGGAAACUGCCUGAUGGAGGGGGAUAACUACUGGAAACGGUAGCUAAUACCGCAUACCAUCGGAUGUGCCCAGAGGGGAUGAGCUAGUAGGUGGGGUAAUGGCUCACCUAGGCGACGAUCCCUAGCUGGUCUGAGAGGAUGACCAGCCACACUGGAACUGAGACACGGUCCAGACUCCUACGGGAGGCAGCAGUGGGGAAUAUUGCACAAUGGGCGCAAGCCUGAUGCAGCCAUGCCGCGUGUAUGAAGAAGGCCUUAGGGUUGUAAAGUACUUUCAGCGGGGAGGCGUUACCGGCAGAAGAAGCACCGGCUAACUCCGUGCCAGCAGCCGCGGUAAUAC
rnacentral:rRNA from 1 species